rnacentral:lncRNA from 1 species
GGGGGACCUCUGGGGCUGACACCUCUGUCAGCCACUCUCUUGUCUGGAAUCUGCUGGCCAAGUCUGCACUCUUCUGGGGUCUAUGUCUGGACCCUAGAGCAUCUGCCAUGAGAAAAAAGGACACAGCAGGAAACAGGUGGCCUUGGGUGGCCUUGAGGCCAGAAGACCAGCACAGGCCUUGAGGAUGUGCCCUUGAGCCCCAGGAAUGGAGAAAGAAGUGGCCGAUGGGUCCAGGAGGCCCCUCCUGGCAGGAGGUGACAGGCAGUCCUC